AUACCUUUCUAGGCCUUUUGGCUAAGAUCAAGUGCAGGAUAUGUUUUUAUCAUAGCAGUUGUUGCUUGGAAUAGGCAUUGGUUCGUAUACACCGUGUUUUUGGAGAACAGUAGGUAGAUUUGAUUUCUGGGCUGUAAGUUAUAGCAGAACUCGACCCGGAUAAUUGGUCGAAACCUUUACUAACCAUU